AAAGAAAACAAGUCCUGUUUCAACAUCCUGUCACAUUAGUAACUCCGGAGGAUUUCUAAGACAUUAAAAAUUAGGCCGCAUAAUGUGAAAGUAGCAACAUUCUAAGCUUCUUGUUUAGUAGAUCUGAAAGGCCAGUGGGAAGUCAGAGUCAUAGCAGGGCUUGGGUACACACUGUUUCUCCAUGUUUGGGCUGACUGCCUUUGAGAACCACUUCUCUUGUCAGGCUUUAAGCAAGUCAAACAUUUUGACAUAUGUCAUCUUAUUUAUAGUAUAAGAAGGAUGAGCUGGGGGGGACUCAGGAUUCCUUGCAGCUCCAAAUUAUUUAAGAAUGACAACUCAAACAAUAAAAAAAUAAAAUAAAAUUGGCAAUUAUUAUGUCUAGUUAUCUCAGCUUUGAUUAUACUUAUACGAGGCAGGUAUUAUUAAAACCUAAAAAAGCUAAAACACCUUCAUAUAAUUUAUGAACCUAAAUGAGAAGCAGCUAAUCAUUGUACAAAAAAUGACAGUGGUGGUGGUUAAAGAUAAGAGCUAAUUCCCAGUAAUAGGUAGGAGCAACUAUUAUUGAGUUCAUUAAGUUCUAUUUGGGUUUCUCUAGUGAAAGCUUAUAUAUAUAUAUAUUUUUUUGACUUAAGUCUCUAUGUUCUCAGGUGAGAAUAUUAACUGAACUUGGAUCCAGUCUGUGUGAAGUGUGAAUUUUUAAAACUGAAAAUGUGGAAGUCAAACAUAUUACCAUUUACAUGGGAACACUAAUGCUUUUAAUGGAGGAAAAUGAGAUUUGUUGAGACAAAGAAGUAGAGUUGAAGAUAAUUAUAAUAGUAUUCAGCAUAGAGUACAGGGAGACUACAGUGAUUAAUACCAUAACGGUUAAUAAAAAGGGCACUUGCAAGGCACAUACAAAGUUUUUUUUUUUUUCUUUUGAUUUAAAGACUUCCUCUAUUACUCUACAGACCUAUCCUGUUUUGUAGAAAAACAACAGCACAAAAUCUGACUUGGGUUCUAGGAUGAUACUAAAAAAGGAUGUUGAGAACUGAGAAGUUUCCCUUUCUCCUUUAGAGGUAAUAGUUUGUUUGGUGGAAGCUGACUGCAAACUUCAGCAGCAUGAGAGAGUUGCCGCUCCCUCCCCAACCCCUUCAGAGAUGCUCUCUUUCUCUUCCCCCCUCUACCCCCUGAAAAUUCCCCAGCUCAUCCCUGCCCAGGUCUGCAUGAUAAGCAGGGCACAAAUCAAAGGUCUGUGAAGUAGUGAAUGCACAAUGGCUGUUGGAGAAUCUCAUUUCAUUAAAUGAAAGCAGGCUCUGUUUAAACAAAGUUUCUGUUUCUCUCACUGCCCUGGGAGGCACAAGUAGCUGGAUGUGUACAUGGAUGUGUCAACCCCGAAAAGAGUAAAUACGCGGGUGUUCACUGGAAGUCUUUGUUCCGGGUCUUGCUGUUAGAAGAUGCACAGGGCAGUGAGGGAGCACUGUGGGAUCAGGGGAGAUCACUGGGUGUAUGAGCUGGAAUUGCAUGUAAGGAGACACCCCAUAUACACAAAGUGAUGGCCAUUUACGUUUUAAACAUACGGCAUACUGUUCCAUGCUCAUCAUUUAAUAUUUCAGUCUUUAUGUUAUUUUUGUAGUCUAUAUGUUACUUAGGUUUGAAAGUAAUGCUUUUUUUUUUUUUUUUUUUUUCUGAUCAGUAAUUUUUCCUUACUUAGACAUAAAAACAAAUCCCAGGUAUCUGCUGUAGCCUUCCCAGGCUAGCUAGCCUCUGCAGCAUCUUUCCAUGCUGUGAUAGGCAGAAGUCAUUCUAGUCAAACAUUAUUUAAAUCGUUUUAUAUGUAUAAAAUAGUAUUUUAAAUUCCAGAAAGGCCACUCGGAAUAAUAGACUAAAUUAAACAAACCUGCAUUCUAACCGUGGCUCUGCUAGAGGCAUAACCUAGAGCAGUCACUUGACUUAUGAGCUCAGAUUUCUGAUUUGUAAAAUGAAGUAAACUGAUGAGCUCUAAGAUAAUUUUCUGCUUAAAAUCUCAUCAGUUGAAUUCUUGAUGUCUAAAAGAAACUUGCCCUUAUUAAAAGUAUCAAUUACUCCAAAUUAACUUUUAUUUAUUACAUUUAAACUAUUCCUUCACACAUGGAAUACAAAAAGGAAAUUACUAAAUUUACUUGCAAAGACCCAAACACUGGUUGGCUAUUAUGCAGCCUGACUGAUGUGAAAAAUUGCAAACUGCCAAGGAAGUCUGAGCUAAUGGAAAAUCUCUAGUCUUUUUCAAGGACCUUCUUCUCAGAAUGUUUUAGAAUUUAGCACUUUGCCAUCUAAGGCAAGAAUAGGAAGAGAAAGAAACCAGAUAAAAUAAUAGCAAACUCUACCAGGAAGUCUCCUCGAUAAACUAGACUUUCUGUUCUUUAUUUGAGGGACCUACAUUUCCUACAGAAGACUUCUAUUUAGCAUAGAAGACCCCCUGUGCCCCUACUCAGUGAACUGGGUAGAAAAUCACAAAUACCACUUGAGUUUUUCACCAAAGUUUCUCCCUUAUGUAGCACUGCCAUUCCUGCAGUUCCCUUCUAAAUAUUGUGAGAGAAAGAAGUGGCUUUUUAUUUGGAAUGCUAGUUGUGACUUAGGAUUAUUGGUGAAGCCCCUUUGUUUGGGUUUUAUUGAAGCGUGUCAACAGCUGUCAGCAAUAAUACUUGCUCCGCCUGCUGCAAUGUGAUAUAUUGAUAUGUAUACAACAAUAUGUUAUAAAUUGAAAUAAAAUAUGCAUUUUUUCAUAAUUUAUCAGCAUUAUGAUGGCACCAAAAAGGCAGUCUUAUGAAUAAUACAGAGCUCUUCAGCGGGCAUUAUGUACUGUAGGUAAUAAACGAAGCCUCUCCCCUGGACUGCCAGGAGAGUUGUAAAGCAGAAUGCAUUAGUUCUGCCCUGUGAUAAUAAAUCAUUUUAGUAUGUCAGUAGGCUCUGGCUAACUUUUACUCCUGAGGUCUGAAAGAAUAGUGUGCCAUACGGCUCUGGAUGGUUUCUGAAGUGUUUAGACUGGCUCUGAUUCUCCUGGGUAAUGUUUUGAGUGAGCGAUAUGGUUAGAUAACAAGUGGCAGUAUUUCUCAGGUAUUGAUAUUGUGAUGCCUCCUGUUGUUUUACUGCCUGGAGUGGCUGAUUUUGUCCUAAUUGGAACUGUAGUCUUUCUCAGUGUCUCUAUUUGCAAUAUGGUGCUGUGUUUCUUUAAAAAAUAAAAGUUGUUCUGUAAUACUAUGCAACUGCUCUAAGUGAUAUCACCCUGCCUCUCAGUUAUCUUUUCAAGAAAAAGAAAUCAAUAAGUUCUUUCUGUUCUUAUUUAUCCUUUUAAGAAAUAUAGCUACCCUUUUAGGAACUGUUUUUCUUAGAGCUGUGAUGGCCAUUAGUUCAUCAUUACUUCAUGUGUUUUGAAAGAUAACAAUACAACCUAGUUUGUAGCAAACCUCAAUCGAUGGUCUGUGAUUGAAAGAAUCAUCUUUGUAUAAACUUGGUUAGCAUCUCAAGCUCUCUGUGUGUAUUAAUUUUUCCUAGAGUAGCAGUAAGGGCAAUGUGGUUGUAUAUGCAGAGAAGGUAUAAUUUAAAAUCAUUCUUUUGGCUUAGAAUACAUGGCUUUUGUUUAAAGCACGUCACAGUUUUCUCAUAAUGGUAACAAAGAUCAGAAAAAAAUUAUAAGUACUGGAUGGAAAUCAACAGCUCUUCUGAAGGAGGUGAAACAUAUAUGCAUUUUCUCAUUAUUUUCCUAUGUUAUAACUGUGUAAACUAAUUCUGAAAAGUAUGUUAGUCCUUUUUGAUGUGUAAGAUUGCUUACCAAGCCUCUGCUAUCUUGAUUUCAGUAUCCAUACAUUAAAUUCAUGCUGAUCCGUGAACAGUUAAGAAAAUAGUGAUCUGAAGCAUCCACAUAGCAUUCACUGCAGGGUAAUAGCAUGGUUUAUAACUUAAGCCCAUUUUGAACAUUCAAACUAAAUAGAGUCAUGAAACUAUAAUACCAGUAUGUUUUAAUCCACUGGUUUAUUUCCCAUUGUGGGAGGGCGCAUACUUUUCAUGCAAAAGAUCCUGAUCUAGUGCUGAAGAAUAUUUGGAUUGAAACAGGUGUGAGAUAACAGUUCAGGCCCGCUGCUCCUUCAGGUCCCUGAAAUAGAAAUGCAGAGACUUUUAGCAGCAGCACACCAGCUGAGCUGCAUAAAGAUGGCCAAUUUCUAAGAAAACUAGAAUUUAUGUAAUACAGGGCCUUUUAGAACACAUCAGCUCAACUUCAUUUGGAAGCAAAUAUGUAACUGGUACAGCUCGCAAAGCACGGCAUGGUUCUUUCACAUUUCAAAUGGUUUGUGUGGCCUCUGUUCUGCACCAGCGGGUCCCCAAAGCUGGCUCCCACAGAAGAUUGCUGCAGUCCAAUAUAGGGAUUAGGAAAGCAUGGAACACUGUGGUGACAGCAAUUUUGAAGACAGAUGUCUUCUAUCUAUAACCAGAUUGGAGAUAGUGAAGAAAAUAGCUGUGCAAGUUUCCAUCAACUUACCCCUUCUUUUUGCCUUGUGAGUGUACCCUAGAGAAGAAGAAUUCUGACUGCAUUAUGGAAACUGAGUUUCCAGUGAUUGUUAUAAAAUAGUUGGAAAUUUUGACACCAAAUAGUGCAUGCCUUCAAAUAUUAAGCCUGAGAGUAUCUACUUAGUUGUGAAAAGCCACUGUGAUUCAUAGUAAAUGCUGAUGAUGGGCCUUUUCCUUGGGAUUCAUAUGUAGUUGGGGAUUUAUUUGAUGUUUGAGAUCCAUUGUGCUUUGGAAUAGAAUCCUCUUAGCAUCCCUACCAUAAGCUCAGUUGAAAGAUGAUUUAAGUGCUGUGGUUGGCUAACAUGCAUUCCUUCUACUUAUGAGAGACUUUUUCUAAAUAAAAAAAUUUCAAAGAAAAAUAUCAAAUAUGCUUUGAUAGAGAAUUUAAUACAUUCUUGGAUGGAGGCUUUUCUUAAACUGCUUUUAUUCAAAGACAUAUUUUGUUUGGAAAAUAGAAAUUCUACAGCUGGUUGUUCUAUUUUAUGAUACCUUAGAACAAGGCUUAAAAGGUCACUGUUUUAUCACAUUAUUCUGUGAAAUCCCUUUUUGCCAUUUUGUUUGGGAAAAUAUUUAAAAAAAAACAGAAAAUUCCUUAAAAAAAAAUAUAUAUAUAUCUGAAAAAAAAUCACCCUCAGGAAAAAACAUAUACUUCAUAUACAUGUGUUCUAGAGUGUACCCAUACUUUAGCUUAUAUAUGCAAGCACUUUAACUUGGGAAAAGAUCUAGAAAAAUACAAAAUCCAGUAUUAGUAUUACUUUGUGAACUUUCAUAGAAUAAUAAAUUCUGAAGUAGAUCAUGAGGAAGAAUUUCAUAUAUUUACCCUAAUCCCAGGAAAAUAGACAUUCAGAAACCCUUCAAAUAUAGAAUAACCUGUCAUUCUUCACAGUCUUACCAGGAAUUAUUUUCCUGGGUCUAGCAAGCAUACUUCUGCUUAUGCUUUCAGACUUUCCUCCUUCAUUUCUAAAAGUGUAUAAUUUUCUAAUUCUAAAAAAUUUGAUUCGCUUAAGUAUUUUUUGAAUUCUCUAUUUCUCUCUAAAUUGGAUACAGCAUUAGUUUAAAUGACAGAAGAAGAGACUUUUUAAAGAAAUGGGGUAUAUUAUGCUUGUUUCCGAAGUUGCUUUUUAUCCUCUUAACUUUGAAUGAUGUAAAUUCUGAGUCAGAAUUUAUAAAAUAUUUCUAAGAUACCCGAGGAGAGUUGAGAUGACAGAAUAAGGGAGGAUCCUAGGCUUGCCUCAUCCUUCAGACAUGGCUAGAUAAAUAUCAAAUAACUCUGAACACUCAAGAAAUUGAUCUGAGGACUGAGAGAACAAACUGUACAACUAGAGGGAGAUGAUGGGAGGUAGGAAGUGUGGAGGCGUGAUUAGGGGAGGAAAAAAUCAUGGGUGCUGCCAAAGGAAAGUUGCCCUGAUCACAGAGAGAGGAGAGAGAGACAGAGAGGGAGGGAGGUGGACUUCAGUGAGCAGCACAGUGCCCACAGUGGAGGCCUGAGACAUUUACGCCAAGCCCUACCCCCCUGCACUCUGCAGGUGCUUCUUAUACUAGGGCAGGUAUGCCUGAGAGCCAGAACAGCAUCAGGCUCCUUCCCUAGAAGACCAGCACAAAAUCCUGCAUGCACCAAGUCUACUGACUACGAGUGCUGCAAAACUUCAGCUUUAGUAGAAAUAGCAUCAGGUCUCUUCUAACAAGACGACCGGAGCACACCUAGUUAAAAUGCUACAUACUGGACAAGGUCCAAACACUCCUCACUGCAUGUAAGAAGAGACUCUGCAGAUGACUGAUCUGAGGGAAAGAACAGCUAAAACACAGCAGCAGAAUACAUACAAUAUAACAAAAACAUUCCCUGAAGCUCUAGGCCCUGAACUGUACAGGACCUCUUCUUAAUAAAACCAUUACUCUCAGGAGUAGAAAAGAUAACAGGUUUUCCAAACACACAAAUGAAGAUGGAGACAUAGACAAAAUGCCAAGACAGAGGAAUUCAUCUUAAAGAAAGAACAAGAAAAAAUCAUGGCCUGAGAUCUAAUUAAAGCAUAUAAGGUAACAUGACUGACCCAGAAUUUAAAACAACAACCAUAAAGAUACUAGCUGGACUUGAGGAAAGCAUAGAAGAUGCCAGGUAGCCAUUACCACAGAGAUAAAGGGCCUAAACACCAGUCAGGGGGAAAUUAAAAAAAAAAAUGCUAACUGAGAUGCAAAACUAACUGAAUGUAAAAACUAUAAGGAUAGAAGAAGCAGAGAAACAAGUGAUAUAGAAGAUAAAAAUAUGGAACAUAAUGAAGCUGAAAAUGAGAGGGAAAGAAAAAUACUAGAUCAUGAAGAUUUGGAGAACUCAAUGACUCCAUGAAGCAUAAUCACAUUUGUAUCAUAGGAAUUUCAG
rnacentral:lncRNA from 1 species